GUUUUAUUGUAGAAUUAUGUUUCAUGUUUUAUUUACUUUUAUUGUAUUUUAAAUGAUGGAAUUUUAUUUCAUUUGAUAUUUGAUCCUUUGGUUGUGUAUUUUGUGUAUUGUAGAAUGACAGAAUUUGAUUUCAUUUUAUGUUUUAUUAAUUAUAUUAUUAAAAAUGUAUGCAUUUUUUAUGCUAUUAUUGUAUUUUAUAUUUAAGACUGUUACAGAAUAUCUUAUUACAAAUGUUGAGUUAUAAUGUGGUUCCAGCUUUUAAACAUGGGAAAUGAAUAGUUUCCUGUAAUUCAGAGACCACGUUUCGAUGACGGCGUGAGUGUGCAUAACCUGAGUAAGAAUAUGUGGUCAACUCCCUGGUGACUUGAGCCUAGAGUGGUGGAAAGGGAGGGACGGCCGCGUGUCUUUACGAAAAGAAAGACACCCCCUCCCAUCCUUAGUCACUCGCUUCUCUUCCUGUCUAAAGAAAGGGAGGAUGAGAGAAACGAGGGUUAAAGCAUGUAUACUAAACUGUUGCUUUUUUUCUAGCUCAUCUAACCUUUGGCCCGAAUAAAAGGUGUGAUAACCGAGAUGGGUCCAGUUCUGACUGAGGUUCAUAUGAAGGGACCCCAUGGCUUCCAGAUGUCACAUGAUGGCAAGCAAAGAGAAAGUCCCGUGAUACAUCUGUGGGAAAUGUACUUCACAAGAGUUCAACCAUGAGGUUGACUGCAGUGGCCUUCAGAGUGGGCACAGGGUUUUUUGAAGGGAUUUCCAGUGAACUGCAGGUGUCGUGGCGCUGUGGGCUGUAUGGUACUAUUGUGAGAGGAACAAUGGUGCAGAAAGCUUGGGAACCACUGCUUUGCUUUGUUCUCGUCUAUUGUCUGUUCCCAGGAUGUCCUUCAGGAAAAUGACAAAAAGGUCAAGCAACUGACACUCUACAUUACCUUCACAAGACGAUUAAAUGAUUGGCAGGGGAAGACAAAGGAAUAUCUUGAUUGUUUAAUCUCACACCGUCAAGAUUUAUGAACGCAAGUUUUAUUUCUGAGAAAGAUAUACUGAAAAAAUUAGGCGUUGAACAAUUUUCACACAUAAAUUGCUAGUAAACUUCACAAAUAAUCACAAAGAAACAGCAAGUAACACGUUGAAAAAUAUAUAAACUUUUUUUUUUUUUCAAAAAGAAAGACUAAAAGUUUCUUGUAAAAUGUACUUCAGUAAUCUUUGUUUUGUUUAAAACUUUGGAAAGUCUUUUUUACAGUGAUUCUCCAACGUUAAUAAUGCACUGACUUUCAAUGGAAAUGUGAGUGCUGUUUGCUGUGAUGCUGCAUGUUUUGCGGAAGGUUGCCAGGGUGUUGCAAUAUGGUUGCUUAGGUGGUGUUGUCUAAACUCAAGAACCCAGUCUGUCAGAUUGAACCAAUACAAGCCUUCACUGAUGUAGAAGAUGUGAUUGAACCUGCCAAUCAUUACUUAAGCUACAUUAGGUUGCUAGGAUGUUAUUUCUGUGCUUUUAAGGGGCAGACAGACAUUGCAAACACAUGCCAAAGCUAUAUAUAUGAAGAGUUUAUUUGCAAAAAAAAAAAAAAAAAAAUUUAAAAUAUUAUUUUCAACAUUGACAAUAAUAAGAAAUCAGCAUAUUAGAAUGUAUAUGUGUGCAUGUUAUUAGACAAAUGCAGUGUCUCUUAGUGUGACACUGAGAAAACCCUCAGUGUCCAUGCUUUUGGAAGUACUGAGCAUUGUUAGAAGACCUUUAUUUAUGGGUACUGUUCUUCCAUUUUUUCCAAGGGAAAUGAUGCUUUUGACUCGUCAAAGCUAUUUAUAAUUAGGAGUGACUGUUGCAUGUUGGGAAGGCAAUUACAACAGGAUGUGACCCGUGUCCACGUUUACAGUUCUCAAAGCAGGGCAGAGAGAAGCUCA
ensembl:lncRNA